UACGGUUUUCGCUGACGCGUUCAGCGCCGAGGAUGGUUUUUUCUCAAUUUCCACGCAUGAGACCGAGUGUGCUGGUUCCGCGUAGUGGCAACGAUCUGACCAGGGCCGCACGCUGUGAUUGAGCGCGGAUUUUCGUCCGCUUCUCGUACGUGUGAGUGUGUGCGCGUGUGUAGGUGCCGGCGCGAGUGUGUUUGUGUGCGCGCGUAUGUGUUCCUUCCCGUGUGACACACAAAAGGAGGAAGAGAAGGAGGAAGGAGCACAGUGAAGAAACGAAGCGCGGUUCAGAUUUGUGUAUAUGUGUGUGUGUGUGUUUGUGUGAAAACGAAACCCUUGUAGUGGCGCGUUUUCUGGAAAAUUAAGUGCAAAGAAGGUGAAAAGAAGCUGAAGAAGCAAAAGAAGGAAAAACCCAUAUGCACACGAGUGAACGCACAGAGAGAAGUGUUUAGUGAGUGAGAGUGUGUGUGUGUUUGUGUGGGCAUAUUUGUGUUGUGUUAGCAGUUGUCCGCUAAACGAGGCAAGACUUCGCAAGGAGAACAAAAAACCUCUAAUUGGACACAAACACGCACUCAAAUACGCAUCCUCAUUCGUGCUGCUGAGAAACGAGAGGUUCGAAAAAAAGGAUUCCAUCUCGAAACGACCCGCUACUGAUCGGAUUUGGAUGAGCGAACAUCUGCAGAAGAUUUAACCGAGGACGACGGAUCACGGAUUGUUCUCGCAACGGAAAACUUUGGCCCAAUCGCAGCGAGAUUCCUGGCUGAACAAUGGAGACAUAGAGGAAAUAUUCAACCGGAACAUCUGAAAAGAAAAAAAAAACCUGGGGGAAAACCUGCCACAGAACCGGGAUUGAAACUUCCAGACGCUCGAGACGCCACCCACCGUUCGGACAAUGCAAACUAAUGGGUGGACGCUUCUGGACCACGCUAACGUCAAGCUCCUCCUCGGUGGCGGCCCAUCGUUGGCCGGAUUGUGGGGCCGGCUUCCACAGCAGCACCAGCAGCAACAGCAGCAGCAGCAGCAGCAGCAUCAGGAACCACGGGCAACUACCGGUGGAAACUGAGCAGCAGCAGCAGCAGCAGCAGCAGUAGGUGAAGGAAGAUCCGAGCCGUGAACUCUCCGGGGGUCUUCGGGGGGAAAACUACACCGUGUGUGGGUGUGUGUGUUUGUGUGUGUACACUACUCUGCGACGUGCUAACGAGAGAAGAUCACGUGUGCGUGUGUGAGUGAGUGAGAGAGAGAGAGAGAAAGAGGGAGAUAGAGAGACAGGAAAACACU